GUUAGACAAACAGGAGGAAAUCCUAGUUGCCAACAGAGAGAUGAUUCAGACUUUGCACUGAAGCUGAGGGGAAAAAUAAAAAGACCUGACAAAUUGUAACAGAUACAAAGUCACUUUCCACAGCAAAAUACAUAUCGAUUCAGACAUACCAAUACCUACAAGCCAACAAAGAAGAUCAGCAUAGGAACAAACAUUAGAAUCAAAAUAUAAACCAAAUCCAUGAAAAAAAAAGAAAAACGCCAAUCACACAUGAUGAAAUCUAGGAUUUUUCAAAAUUUCCCAAGUUCCAAAACUUGAGGGACCAAUAACAAAUUACAAAAUUACAUUGAUAAAAGUUAAUCAAGAAAAUAAAACAAAGGCUUAAUAGAAGUUCAUUUCUUCACUCCAGUUCCGAGUAUGACAUUCACUGAUGAAAUCAAGGUUCUUAUAAAGCGGAUACUAACCCACAAGUAAAAUUUGGGUAUUUCAAACAAAGAUGAAGAAAAUAGACCCUGGCAGCAUAACAGCUACUAUGUCAUUUAUCGACAACUGAAUUUAUAUCGCUUCCAUGAUACACCAAACAGCAAGGCAUAGUGAGUGAGACAAGAGCCAAAUUAUACCCAAG